rnacentral:rRNA from 1 species
UUAAGCGACUAAGCGUACACGGUGGAUGCCCUGGCAGUCAGAGGCGAUGAAGGACGUGCUAAUCUGCGAAAAGCGCCGGCGAGGUGAUAUGAACCUUUGACCCGGCGAUGUCCGAAUGGGGAAACCCAGUGCAAUCCGUUGCACUAUCGUUAACUGAAUACAUAGGUUAACGAGGCGAACCGGGGGAACUGAAACAUCUAAGUACCCCGAGGAAAAGAAAUCAACCGAGAUUCCCCCAGUAGCGGCGAGCGAACGGGGAGCAGCCCGGAGUCUGAAUCAGCUUGUGUGUUAGUGGAACGGUCUGGAAAGUCCGGCGAUACAGGGUGAUAGCCCCGUACACGAAAGCACACAUGCUGUGAACUCGAAGAGUAGGGCGGGACACGUGGUAUCCUGUCUGAAUAUGGGGGGACCAUCCUCCAAGGCUAAAUACUCCUGACUGACCGAUAGUGAACCAGUACCGUGAGGGAAAGGCGAAAAGAACCCCGGCGAGGGGAGUGAAAAAGAACCUGAAACCGUGUACGUACAAGCAGUGGGAGCCUCUUUAUGGGGUGACUGCGUACCUUUUGUAUAAUGGGUCAGCGACUUAUAUUCUGUAGCAAGGUUAACCGUAUAGGGGAGCCGAAGGGAAACCGAGUCUUAACUGGGCGUUAAGUUGCAGGGUAUAGACCCGAAACCCGGUGAUCUAGCCAUGGGCAGGUUGAAGGUUGGGUAACACUAACUGGAGGACCGAACCGACUAAUGUUGAAAAAUUAGCGGAUGACCUGUGGCUGGGGGUGAAAGGCCAAUCAAACCGGGAGAUAGCUGGUUCUCCCCGAAAGCUAUUUAGGUAGCGCCUCGUGAACUCAUCUUCGGGGGUAGAGCACUGUUUCGGCUAGGGGGCCAUCCCGGCUUACCAACCCGAUGCAAACUACGAAUACCGAAGAAUGUUAUCACGGGAGACACACGGCGGGUGCUAACGUCCGUCGUGAAGAGGGAAACAACCCAGACCGCCAGCUAAGGUCCCAAAGUCAUGGUUAAGUGGGAAACGAUGUGGGAAGGCACAGACAGCCAGGAUGUUGGCUUAGAAGCAGCCAUCAUUUAAAGAAAGCGUAAUAGCUCACUGGUCGAGUCGGCCUGCGCGGAAGAUGUAACGGGGCUAAACCAUGCACCGAAGCUGCGGCAGCGACACUAUGUGUUGUUGGGUAGGGGAGCGUUCUGUAAGCCGUUGAAGGUGUCCUGUGAGGGGUGCUGGAGGUAUCAGAAGUGCGAAUGCUGACAUAAGUAACGAUAAAGCGGGUGAAAAGCCCGCUCGCCGGAAGACCAAGGGUUCCUGUCCAACGUUAAUCGGGGCAGGGUGAGUCGACCCCUAAGGCGAGGCCGAAAGGCGUAGUCGAUGGGAAACAGGUUAAUAUUCCUGUACUUGGUGUUACUGCGAAGGGGGGACGGAGAAGGCUAUGUCAGCCGGGCGACGGUUGUCCCGGUUUAAGCAUGUAGGCGGAGGUUCCAGGUAAAUCCGGUACCUUGUUAACGCUGAGGUGUGAUGACGAGGCACUACGGUGCUGAAGUGAUAAAUGCCCUGCUUCCAGGAAAAGCCUCUAAGCAUCAGGUAACACGAAAUCGUACCCCAAACCGACACAGGUGGUCAGGUAGAGAAUACCAAGGCGCUUGAGAGAACUCGGGUGAAGGAACUAGGCAAAAUGGUGCCGUAACUUCGGGAGAAGGCACGCUGAUAUGUAGGUGAAGUCCCUGCGGACGGAGCUGAAAUCAGUCGAAGAUACCAGCUGGCUGCAACUGUUUAUUAAAAACACAGCACUGUGCAAACACGAAAGUGGACGUAUACGGUGUGACGCCUGCCCGGUGCCGGAAGGUUAAUUGAUGGGGUUAGCGGCAACGCGAAGCUCUUGAUCGAAGCCCCGGUAAACGGCGGCCGUAACUAUAACGGUCCUAAGGUAGCGAAAUUCCUUGUCGGGUAAGUUCCGACCUGCACGAAUGGCGUAAUGAUGGCCAGGCUGUCUCCACCCGAGACUCAGUGAAAUUGAACUCGCUGUGAAGAUGCAGUGUACCCGCGGCAAGACGGAAAGACCCCGUGAACCUUUACUAUAGCUUGACACUGAACACUGGUCCUUGAUGUGUAGGAUAGGUGGGAGGCUUUGAAGCGUGGACGCCAGUCUGCGUGGAGCCAACCUUGAAAUACCACCCUUUAAUGGCUGGUGUUCUAACGUAGACCCGUAAUCCGGGUUGCGGACAGUGUCUGGUGGGUAGUUUGACUGGGGCGGUCUCCUCCCAAAGAGUAACGGAGGAGCACGAAGGUUGGCUAAUCCUGGUCGGACAUCAGGAGGUUAGUGCAAUGGCAUAAGCCAGCUUGACUGCGAGCGUGACGGCGCGAGCAGGUGCGAAAGCAGGUCAUAGUGAUCCGGUGGUUCUGAAUGGAAGGGCCAUCGCUCAACGGAUAAAAGGUACUCCGGGGAUAACAGGCUGAUACCGCCCAAGAGUUCAUAUCGACGGCGGUGUUUGGCACCUCGAUGUCGGCUCAUCACAUCCUGGGGCUGAAGUAGGUCCCAAGGGUAUGGCUGUUCGCCAUUUAAAGUGGUACGCGAGCUGGGUUUAGAACGUCGUGAGACAGUUCGGUCCCUAUCUGCCGUGGGCGCUGGAGAAUUGAGGGGGGCUGCUCCUAGUACGAGAGGACCGGAGUGGACGCAUCACUGGUGUUCGGGUUGUCAUGCCAAUGGCACUGCCCGGUAGCUAAAUGCGGAAGAGAUAAGUGCUGAAAGCAUCUAAGCACGAAACUUGCCCCGAGAUGAGUUCUCCCUGAGACCUUGAGUCUCCUGAAGGAACGUUGAAGACUACGACGUUGAUAGGUCGGGUGUGUAAGCGCAGCGAUGCGUUGAGCUAACCGAUACUAAUGAACCGUGAGGCUUAACCUU